GAUUUCUUUUUCUACUGUGGUUUUGCAUAUGAAAUAUGAAUAAAUCCAAAGGGAUACAAUGAAUAUCUGCAAACAAUUAUUACAAAAAAUGUGUAGAUAUAAAGACAAAUCAAUUAAUGAAGUUGUACCAAAAUAUUGCAAAAUCUGAAAUAAAGAGGGGGAGGUAAUAUAUACACAACAUGUAAUUAAAAACAAAAACCUUGAUUAUUGUGUAGUUUUUAAAUUAUUAUAACAUUUUUUUCAAAAAGUUCAUCUGUUAUUACCUUUCUUUGGCCGUCAUAUGUUUUAGUUAUUUUAUUUACUAUUUACUUCAGUUUAUUCUUUUCCUUUUGCUCUGACUCGGUGAGGUCUGGGUGUGAGAUUUUAUUUUUCUUUUUUUACAAACAUCUUUUAUUGUAGUUUGGAGCCUCGAGAGGUUUAUUCAUGUAGAGCGACAGACGCUACAACAAACGGCAAUUACUUCUUUCAAAAGGAGGAAAGAGUCCAAUUACAGAAGCAGAAAAAAUAAUAUAAGAUAAACGAAUGGGGCCACACUAUCUGUUCAAAGAAUAAAAUGCAUACAUUUUUUUCUUUUCUUUAUUCAUUGAUUUUGGUUGCAUUUUAAUAAUUCAAGCAGAAAAUGCCUUUUUAUGUAUUUAUGUGAAGCUUGAUUGUCUGCUUACAAAAAAAGUCCCAGGAAAUGUUUGUAUGUUAAAGAUUUUUCCUGACUGGAAGAAAAAGCUCCCCGUGUGUCCUUUUCUACAACUUCAGUUUCAAAUCUAAUCUACUUUGGACCUGAAGUGCAAAUCACAUCAACACAUCACUGGGUCCAACAUUUUUUAAAGACAAAUAAAGUAAAAAUAAUUAAUAAAAAAAACAUUUUUUUUUUAAAAGAAAGAAAAACUGUUUAUUUUCCUCAGGAUUAAUAAUGGAUAAUUGACUUGAAGUUGAAAUUAUACAAGAAAUAAAACAUUUCAGAAACCAAAACAAGAUAAAAAUUAAUAAAUCAUUUAAAAACAAUGUAUUGAGAAACCAAAGUAAUUUCCAGAAAUUAAAAUUAAGCACAAAAAGAAAUAAAAAAAAUUAAGGAACAUUGCUGAUUGAACGAUGAGGUUGUUCCAUCAACUGAAUAUCAUUUAGCAUUAAAUAAUACUGGAUAUACUCCAUACUAAUCAUGACUACUGAAGACCCAUUUGAAAAAACUCACAUGUCAUCAUCCAAUCAGAGGAGACAACAAAUUUACCACCUGCAAACCCAUGAGAUGAAAGUAUUAACCUUGAGCAGCUGGAUCGUGCACAAAGGAAGGAUUACAUCUCCCUGCGUCCAGUCCUUUCCACUUUCAUACAUAGAGAAGUGGGAGUGUGUUUCAUGGGUCAGAGCGUGUACUCGAGCAGGUCAGUGCCAGUGUUAUGUCACUCACCUUGUCGGCCAUUAUCAUAGAGGAACCUCCGUGGACUCCCAGGACGGGAAGUUGUGUCUGAACAGACAGGAAGUCAAGGAUCUGGGCUAUGGCCUCCUGAUCGGUGCCGUCGGCAAACACGAUGCCAUGGAGGCGAGUGCGAGACACAAGCUCACACAUCUUGAAAGACAAACAUUUUCAACUGUUUGUUAACAUCUUGUUUUAUUGUAACAUUUGCUUAGCACCCAGCUUUCCUCACCUGUGUAAUCACAGACUUGGGGUCUGUUUGGUUCAUCCUCAGCGUAAUCACAGAGACAUCAAUGACGUCUUCGGGGCGCCUCAGCGGUCGGAUUUCUUGGUCAGACACUUGGCGAGUUUGGCCGAGAAUCACACCCACGCUUAGCCCUGGAGGUUUUUGGGACCCCACAGACGCCAUGAAAGAAGAGAUGCCAUCCCUCAAAUCAUGGAGGUUGUGUCAUUCAGGCUGGAUCUGGUUUGGUGCUCAACUGCCUUCAUUUUCCCGCAGAAGAAGCUCUCGGCUACUGAGGACAUGAGCCAGAAAUUUCCACUCAAGCAGCAACU